AACAAAUGCAUUGAGCUCUUAAUCACUUUCUAAUGAAUUCUUUUGUUCUACAUAUAUCAUGAAUCAUGACAAAUAACAUUCAAUACCUACAUACAACUUAACAAAAUUACAUUUUUUAAUAAAAAAAGCCCGCGAUUUGGUUCGGGUUUCGCCCUAGUACUAACUAGAGAAGAAAGAGAUUUUCGAAGAAAAAAUAUGGAACAUGUGAAAAGUUUAGAAGGUAUGACACAUAUUGCUUAAACAAAAUCAUAAGAGGAUGGAAAGAGACACUGUAAGAAAAAAUGAAACAAAUAAAACGAGUGCUUGCAAAAAGAUAGGGAGAGUGAUAGCUCUUUGUAAAAAAAUUGUGAAGACAGAAAUUCAUAUACAUAUUGAAAAGAAUGUGAGAAAAUAUGAGUUGUUAAAGUAAAGUAUAGAUAAGCUUAUGAAUAUACUUCUAUAUAAUAUCUUAUUUUUAGACGAGCUAUACUAACUAAUGCAGCGAAGAUAAACAAAAAAGAAUAGUAAAUUUACGGAUUUCAAAAUGAGAAAGUCGUCGAAGUUAUUUUCCAUAAAACAAUUUAUUUCAUACAUAAAAAGACGUCGUGAUCCUAAAUAUCUAAAGCUAAAGAGAGAGUCAUGAGCCAAAAAAAUGUUCUUUUGAUAAAUGUUGUAAACCUAAAAGUUGUAUUAAAGUUAUUUUUAGUUUUGUAUUUAAAUUGUAACUAUUGUCAUGGUAAUU
rnacentral:sRNA from 1 species